AGUGAACGCUGGCGGUAGGCCUAACACAUGCAAGUCGAACGGCAGCACAGUAAGAGCUUGCUCUUACGGGUGGCGAGUGGCGGACGGGUGAGGAAUACAUCGGAAUCUACUUUUUCGUGGGGGAUAACGUAGGGAAACUUACGCUAAUACCGCAUACGACCUACGGGUGAAAGCAGGGGAGCUUCGGACCUUGCGCGAUUGAAUGAGCCGAUGUCGGAUUAGCUAGUUGGCGGGGUAAAGGCCCACCAAGGCGACGAUCCGUAGCUGGUCUGAGAGGAUGAUCAGCCACACUGGAACUGAGACGCGGUCCAGACUCCUACGGGAGGCAGCAGUGGGGAAUAUUGGACAAAGGGCGCAAGCCUGAUCCAGCCAUACCGCGUGGGUGAAGAAGGCCUUCGGGUUGUAAAGCCCUUUUGUUGGGAAAGAAAAGCAGCAGGUUAAUACCCCGCUGUUCUGACGGUACCCAAAGAAUAAGCACCGGCUAACUUCGUG
rnacentral:rRNA from 1 species